rnacentral:rRNA from 1 species
GAUGAACGCUGGCGGCGUGCUUAACACAUGCAAGUCGAACGAAGCACCUCUCCCGAAGAUUGACACAGCUUGCUGUAGAUUGAUUCAUUUGAGGUGACUGAGUGGCGGACGGGUGAGUAACGCGUGGGUAACCUGCCUCAUAGAGGGGGACAACAGUUGGAAACGACUGCUAAUACCGCAUAGUAAGAAGAAUUCGCAUGUUUUCUUCUUGAAAGAUUUAUCGCUAUGAGAUGGACCCGCGUCUGAUUAGCUAGUUGGUAAGGUAACGGCUUACCAAGGCGACGAUCAGUAGCCGGCUUGAGAGAGUGAACGGCCACAUUGGGACUGAGACACGGCCCAAACUCCUACGGGAGGCAGCAGUGGGGAAUAUUGCACAAUGGGGGAAACCCUGAUGCAGCGACGCCGCGUGAGUGAAGAAGUAUUUCGGUAUGUAAAGCUCUAUCAGCAGGGAAGAUAAUGACGGUACCUGACUAAGAAGCCCCGGCUAACUACGU